UGGGGAAUAUUGGACAAUGGGCGCAAGCCUGAUCCAGCCAUGCCGCGUGAGUGAUGAAGGCCUUAGGGUUGUAAAGCUCUUUUGUCCGGGAAGAUAAUGACUGUACCGGAAGAAUAAGCCCCGGCUAACUUCGUG
rnacentral:rRNA from 1 species